rnacentral:rRNA from 1 species
CCUACGGGUGGCAGCAGUGAGGAAUAUUGGUCAAUGGCCGGAAGGCUGAACCAGCCAUGCCGCGUGAAGGUCAGUGCCCUAUGGGCGUUAAACUUCUUUUGUGCGGGAGCAAUAAUGGUCACGUGUGGCCAGACGAGAGUACCGUACGAAUAAGCAUCGGCUAACUCCGUGCCAGCAGCCGCGGUAAUACGGGGGAUGCAAGCGUUAUCCGGAUUUUUUGGGUUUAAAGGGUGCGUAGGCUGUGAGGUAAGUCAGCGGUGAAAUGCCCCCGGUCAACGGGGUGAAGUGCCAUUGAUACUGCCGUGCUGGAAUGCGGGAGACGUAGGAGGAAUGUGUGGUGUAGCGGUGAAAUGCAUAGAGAUCACGCAGAACGCCGAUUGCGAAGGCAUCUCACGAAUCCGCGAUUGACGCUGAUGCACGAAAGCGUGGGUAUCAAACAGGAUUAGAUACCCGUGUAGUC